rnacentral:tmRNA from 1 species
GGGGCCGAUCUGGCUUCGACGUGGGUCGCGAAGCAGAGCAGGGCAUGUCGAGCACCAGUAAGCUCGUAAAUCCACUGGAAAACUUUAAACGCAAACGAAGAGCGUUUCGCACUAGCCGCUUAAGCGGCUUUGCCGCUGCACUAGCUUGUUCUUGGGUUAGGUUAGGCAACUAACAGCAGCGUCACUUACAAGAAAUCGAAUUUGGUUGGUUCGCUCAAUCAAGUUUUAAAUCUAAGCGAAUCGCUGAGGAAAGGCCUGUUGAUGGGCAUAAUCCGAGGUUAAAUUCUAAAAUAUAUCAACUAAACAUGUAGAACUGCCUGUAGAGGGCUUGCGGACGCGGGUUCAAUUCCCGCCGGCUCCACCA